rnacentral:rRNA from 1 species
AGAGUUUGAUCAUGGGCUCAGGAUGGACGCUUGGCGGCGUGCCUAAUACAUGGCAGGUCGGACGCUUUGUGCUUUAUUGAAAUGACGAGCUUGCUCUGAUUUGAUUUUUUGAUUUCAAAGAGUGGCGCACGGGUGAGUAACACGUGGGUAACCUACCUCUUAGCAGGGGAUAACAUUUGGAAACAAGUGCUAAUACCGUAUUAUACCAACAACCGCAUGGUUGUUGGUUGAAAGAUGGUUCUGCUAUCACUAAGAGAUGGACCCGCGGUGCAUUAGCUAGUUGGUAAGGUAAUGGCUUACCAAGGCAAUGAUGCAUAGCCGAGUUGAGAGACUGAUCGGCCACAAUGGGACUGAGACACGGCCCAUACUCCUACGGGAGGCAGCAGUAGGGAAUCUUCCACAAUGGGCGCAAGCCUGAUGGAGCAACGCCGCGUGUGUGAUGAAGGGUUUCGGCUCGUAAAACACUGUUAUAAGAGAAGAACGGCACUGAGAGUAACUGUUCAGUGUGUGACGGUAUCUUACCAGAAAGGAACGGCUAAAUACGUGCCAGCAGCCGCGGUAAUACGUAUGUUCCAAGCGUUAUCCGGAUUUAUUGGGCGUAAAGCGAGCGCAGACGGUUAUUUAAGUCUGAAGUGAAAGCCCUCAGCUCAACUGAGGAAUUGCUUUGGAAACUGGAUGACUUGAGUGCAGUAGAGGAAAGUGGAACUCCAUGUGUAGCGGUGAAAUGUGUAGAUAUAUGGAAGAACACCAGUGGCGAAGGCGGCUUUCUGGACUGUAACUGACGUUGAGGCUCGAAAGUGUGGGUAGCAAACAGGAUUAGAUACCCUGGUAGUCCACACCGUAAACGAUGAGUGCUAGAUGUUCGAGGGUUUCCGCCCUUGAGUGUCGCAGCUAACGCAUUAAGCACUCCGCCUGGGGAGUA